GGGGACGUUACGGAUUCGACAGGGAUAGUUCGAGCUUAGGUUGCGAGCCGAAGGGAUCGUCUUCGUUAAAACGUCACGCCAAUAAUAACUGGCAAAACUAACAAUAACUUAGCUUUAGCAGCAUAAUAACUGCUUAGCUGUUCCUCCCUCCAUCGUCCAUGUGGUAGGGUAAGGGACUCACUCUUAGUGGACUACGCCUAAUUCCUCCGUCUGGGGAUGAUGGAAGAGAAUAAUCAGACUAGCUGCUCUGACGCCUGUCGAUAGGCAUAGGGGUUAGCGAAAUUGCAAAUAUAUCGACUACGCUCGUAGACGCUUAAGUGCCGAUAUGUCUGGACGAGGGUUCGAUUCCCUCCGUCUCCACCA
rfam:Bacillus weihaiensis strain Alg07 chromosome, complete genome.